GGGGAGCGCGAGCUGCGUCUGCGCUACCACCACGACAUCUACGCCAUGCUGGACAAGAUGCUCAGCACAGAACAGCGACAUCAGAUGAAGGAACUCACGGUGACGCUAGAAGCUGAGAAGAAGGAAAUAUUAAAUAAACUUGCCAAUUCCAGAAAGGAAGACGUUAAAGCCCUCGCUAAAAAGACUAAUCGGGACAAAGAUGAAAUACUCAGGAUUAAAAGAGAGAUACAUUCACAGUCUGUGGAGCGCGGCGUGGCGGAGUGCUCGC